ACUCCUACGGGAGGCAGCAGUGGGGAAUAUUGCACAAUGGGCGCAAGCCUGAUGCAGCCAUGCCGCGUGUGUGAAGAAGGCCUUCGGGUUGUAAAGCACUUUCAGUUGUGAGGAAGGUGGUGUCGUUAAUAGCGGCAUCAUUUGACGUUAGCAACAGAAGAAGCACCGGCUAACUCCGUGCCAGCAGCCGCGGUAAUACGGAGGGUGCGAGCGUUAAUCGGAAUUACUGGGCGUAAAGCGCAUGCAGGUGGUUUGUUAAGUCAGAUGUGAAAGCCCGGGGGCUCAACCUCGGAACUGCAUUUGAAACUGGCAGAACUAGAGUACUGUAGAGGGGGGUAGAAUUUCAGGUGUAGCGGUGAAAUGCGUAGAGAUCUGAAGGAAUACCGGUGGCGAAGGCGGCCCCCUGGACAGAUACUGACACUCAGAUGCGAAAGCGUAGGGGAGCAAACAGGAUUAGAUACCCUGGU
rnacentral:rRNA from 1 species